rnacentral:rRNA from 1 species
CUACAGAGGGUGCGAGCGUUAAUCGGAAUUACUGGGCGUAAAGCGCGCGUAGGCGGCUUGUUAAGUCAGAUGUGAAAUCCCCGGGCUCAACCUGGGAACUGCAUCUGAUACUGCUUGGCUAGAAUAUGGUAGAGGGAAGUGGAAUUCCGGGUGUAGCGGUGAAAUGCGUAGAUAUCCGGAGGAACACCAGUGGCGAAGGCGGCUUCCUGGACCAAUAUUGACGCUGAGGUACGAAAGCGUGGGUAGCAAACAGGAUUAGAUACCCCAGUAGUCC